rnacentral:rRNA from 1 species
UACGAGGGGGGCGAGCGUUGUUCGGAAUUAUUGGGCGUAAAGGGUGCGUAGGCGGUUUGGUAAGUCUUGUGUGAAAUCUCCAGGCUCAACUUGGAGUCUGCACGAGAAACUGCCGGGCUUGAGUGUGGGAGAGGUGAGUGGAAUUCCCGGUGUAGCGGUGAAAUGCGUAGAGAUCGGGAGGAACAUCAGUGGCGAAGGCGGCCAUCCGGGACAACACUGACGCUGAAGCACGAAAGCGUGGGGAGCAAACAGG